CGUCGGGGUCUAAGAAUACCGCACGCACUUGACCUUCUCAAAUACAAUCACGUUUCAGCUAAUUUGUCCAUGUGAAGCCAGCUUUGAAUAAAUAGAAAAUCUGUUUCUGACUUUAAUACGUUAUCACAACAACGAUAAGUUAGCUUACCGGUGGUUACACAGUAGGAGGUUAAGGAUAAUAAUGGUUUCUUUAACAAAGUCCUUUAAUUCCUACAUUUUUGUAUCAGUGUCGUCCUAUAUAGCUUUACUACCAGUACUGGUCGCAUAUUAGUCGAGUUUUUUCCUGUUUUCGAAGGGUUCUUUCCAAACAUUUUUCAGAAUUCUAACAUUUGCGUUCAAGAGUUGCAUUUAAAGCAAAUGAAAACUCAUCACACUGUGUAGCAAAGGAGAGAGAAAAAAAAAUCAUACUGUAGGCAAGAAGUUAGUUGAUUGAAAGUGACCAAUACAAAUAUAAUUAUUAGACAUAUUUUAAAAUUUGUUGAGAGAGAACAGGAGUGUAUCUGCAUUCACCCCUUACCUUACAUGGGUGCAAUCCAAAGGUACUCUUCUGUCUACACAGUUAGUACUUGUACUAAUUGUGUUACAAAGUUGACAGGGUGCAGUAGUCUCAUCUUGGAGAUGAGUGUUUGAAAGAAGUUUAAGCACAGAGAGAGAACAGCUUUCACAGCGUCUAUUGUUUGGAAAUACACUUUCAUAAUAGUUUGAUCAGAUUGGCCUCAAGAAGUCUGUCACAACCAACUGAGGGGUUGCAGUCCAGCCACCUAUGCAAUUCUGCAACUGGACACUAAAAUAACAUUGCCACAGCAUUCUAUAAUGACGAGAUCUGGCAUAGCUGGUUGGCUGAAUUGCUGCAUGCUGUAGCACAAUGCUGCAUUUCAGCAGCCUUCAACAUCGUGGGAAGCAAGCUCCUGCAACAACACACCUGGUCAAACAUUUGUCAUGUAUGAAAUUGUCAUCUUGAAGGCACGCUUCUCUGUACCGAACGUAACUGUGUCUGCAAAUGAAAUACAUGGUGCAAUGCCUUCUGAUGCCACAAAUGACGAAGUAGAUUCAUAACGCCC